UGUUAUACUUGCGAAGCGGGAUGGAGCAGUUAGGUAGCUCGUCGGGCUCAUAACCCGAAGGUCAUAGGUUCAAA
rnacentral:tRNA from 1 species